AAGUAGUGUGGACACAGAAGUAGUGUGGACACAGAAGUAGUGGGGAUACUUCUGUGUCCACACUACUUCUGUGUCCCCACUACUUCUG
rnacentral:pre_miRNA from 1 species